AACGCACAUUGCGCCCGCCAGUAUUCUGGCGGGCAUGCCUGUUCGAGCGUCAUUUCAACCAUCAAGCCCCAGGCUUGUGUUGGAGCCCUGCGGCUGCCGCAGGCUCCUAAAAGCAGUGGCGGGCUCGCUAUCACACCGAGUGCAGUAGUUUACUCUUCGCUCAGGGCGUGUGGCGGGUUCCAGCCGUUAAACCCCCUACUUUUACAAGGUUGACCUCGGAUCAGGUAGGAAUACCCGCUGAACUUAA
rnacentral:misc_RNA from 1 species